AACGGAGGGUGCAAGCGUUGCUCGGACUCACUGGGCGUAAAGAGCACGUAGGCGGCUUGGUAAGUCUGAUGUGAAAUCCCACGACUCAAUCGUGGAAGUGCAUUGGAUACUGCUUAGCUAGAGUGCAGGAGGGGUAAGCGGAAUUCCAGGUGUAGAGGUGAAAUUCGUAGAUAUCUGGAGGAACAACGGUGGCGAAGGCGGCUUACUGGACUGUUACUGACGCUGAGGUGCGAAAGUGUGGGGAGCGAACAGG
rnacentral:rRNA from 1 species